rnacentral:lncRNA from 1 species
UCCACUCUAUAAAUUCACAAUUUUCAUUUCCUUUUUUUUUUUUCUGAUUUAAUAGCAAUAUUGGAGUUUAAAUCUCACGCAUAUGUAAAGAAACUUGCAUCUAUUUCAAUGUUUGAAGCACUUUAUGCAAGCUGAAACGGAACGCGAUCUAACGGUGAUCAUCUUUCGAAUGUGAUGACACUUCGUGAUAUUUACCACACAAAAAAAAAAAGCGAUAAAUAAAAAAUCAUAUUCAUUCAAAACAUGUUAAAUAAAAAGAUAAAUAUGUACAGAUUAUCUGAAUUAUAAAAAAGAUCAAAUGAAAACGAAGGAAAAGCUGGAUAUCAUGUUACAUGUUACAUGUACAGCAAGAAAAUAAAUAAAAAGAUCCCCCAAAAAAAAAAAAAAAAGCAAAGAAAAUUCAAGCAGAGAAGAAGCCAUUGGAGGCCUCAAGACCAAUCUGGCUCUUGGGCUCCAUAACCCACUUGACAAACUCCAUCUUUUCCUGUCCAAUCUUCUUGUGGAGGGAGUGAGCCAUAACCGAAACGCAGGAAAACAAGUCAGUCUCCAGCUGAUGAUCUCCUUCAGCAGAUCCAGCCUUCCUUGCAUUCUUCACCCUCCUCUCAUACUCUUCAGCUACCAAAAUUGCAAUAUCUGCCAUCUCUCUCUCUCUCUCUCUUUCUCUCUCUUCUGUAACUUGCUUUCAAAAUGGUUUGCUUUCAAAGUGGUUUGCUUUCAAAAUGGUUUUGCACAGACUGAAUUUGAUGGAGA